rnacentral:rRNA from 1 species
UAAACUAGGAUUAGAUACCCUAUUAUUAAAAAUGUAAUAAAAAUAACUUGAUUAUUAUUAGAGAUGAUCUUUAAAUUCAAAGAAUUUGGCGGUAAUUUAUCUUAUCAGAGGAACCUGUUUUAUAAUUGAUAAUCCACGAUAGAAAAAACUUUAAUUCAACUUGUAUAUCUCUGUCAAGAAUGUUUUAUAAGAAAAAUUUUCAUUUUAUAUAUUAUUAUAUAUUGAAUGUCAGGUCAAGGUGCAGUUUAUAUUAAAGAAAAAAUGGGUUACAUUUAAAUAUAUAAUAAAUUAUUUUUUUAUAAUAAAAAUAUGAAACUGGAUUUGAUAGUAAAUUAAUUAAAUUUAAUUAAUUGAAAUUAGCUCUAAAUUAUGUACAUAUCGCCCG